rnacentral:lncRNA from 1 species
GACAAGUCAUCUAGUAAGAGAAGACAGAAGGACAAGUUAGAUAUAGACAAGACUUCCGGACCAAAAGAGGAUUCGAAAUUUAUGGAGAAUUCUGAACUAGAACAUGCAAAUGUGAGAAGAAGCAAACGCCAUUCUCGUGGUAAAGAGAAGAAACAUAGAAGUAAUGCAAAAGAUAGAGAUGAACAUGAAGAGGGAGAUAACCAGAAGGUUAGCCAUCAUCAUGGCAAGCAUAAAUCCCGACAAAGGGCAGAAGGGCCUCUAACAUUAGCAGCACAAUCACCUGUUAUUCCUGAUUUUCUUUUGUAGCAAUGGAGGCUGGGAUCUUGAUUAUCAAUGUGAUAAAUUUGAUCAAUACGGCUUAGGUGAGUUCUUCUGUACAUUACCCUUCAUUUUUUUUUCUCAUUACACUUGCAAUUGGUGAAGUGGGUUUUUUCCAUCUUUUCUGAUUUUGACCGUGUGAAAUUUCAUUGGGAAGGGUAUACUUUUUUUGUUCUUAACACUUGUACAAGAAAACCCUUAUGCAUCUUUGACUGGUUAUGAUCCUCUCGUUCUAUUUGUUUUUCUAUUGGUCUCAUCUAUGUACACAUGUAUGGAGACACAUUUUUUGCUAAUUUGAUAAAAGGUAAAAGACAUGCACUAAGACCUUUCCAAAACUAAGAUAAUACUCAUUUUAUAGACUGAUAAAUAUUAAAGGGCUAAUCCAUACACUAUAGAAAGCUAAAGGAUUUGUUCGAUAAACACAGAGGGUACCGUCUAUUGUUGGUGGAUAAGAUAUGAUGCUUGUGAAUUUUUCAUCAUGAUGUGUAUACAUGCUUGGUGAGAGUUCAUGAUAAUGGGAAAAAUUUAUGCACAAGUUGAAGGAUUUGAGGGAAAUAUUCUUUUGACAUUGUGGAACCUAAGAAGUAGCUGCUUGUAGGGAGUGCUGUACAUCCGUGCUAAAACUGACAAAACCAG